rnacentral:rRNA from 1 species
CGGAGGAUCCAAGCGUUAUCCGGAAUCAUUGGGUUUAAAGGGUCCGUAGGCGGUUUUGUAAGUCAGUGGUGAAAUCCGGCAGCUCAACUGUCGAACUGCCAUUGAUACUGCAGGACUUGAAUUAUUGUGAAGUAACUAGAAUAUGUAGUGUAGCGGUGAAAUGCUUAGAUAUUACAUGGAAUACCCAUUGCGAAGGCAGGUUACUAACAGUGGAUUGACGCUGAUGGACGAAAGCGUGGGGAGCGAACAGGAUUAGAUACCCUGGUAGUCCACGCCGUAAACGAUGGAUACUAGCUGUUCGGCAGCAAUGCUGAGUGGCUAAGCGAAAGUGAUAAGUAUCCCACCCGGGGAGUACGAACGCAAGUUUG